CACCAUCACCCCCCUACAAUCUCUGUUCUCUCAUUUCGCUUCUAUUUUCCUCACCAAAAAGCAAAAACCUGUAGCCUAAAGAGAAAAUAGAAAUAGGGCGGCGACGCUCCUGAUGCUACCUAUUUGUGCCCUGAUCAGAUCUUAUGCAAUAAGUAUCUGUCGGGGAUGAUAUCCGGUGAUAUAUCACAUAUCUUAUCCGAUGAUAUAUCAUAUAUCAUAUUACCCAUGAAACCGAGCAAUGCCCCGCUGAAUCUCAGCACUGCCCCAUUUGUAUAAUCGCGCAUUCCCUUCCUUAUAAAUACUGCC
rnacentral:sRNA from 1 species